UAGUCUUCAUAAAGCAUUCUGCACUCAAAUCAACAAAUAUAUGUUUGUAGACCAAUGCAUUGCCUACCUACGCUAGGGGAUUGUCACGGACACCUACAGAGACUGAUCUUCAUCCACUGAUAAUAUUUACAAAAUGCAUAUAUUUAAAAAAAAGAUAAUUUUAGAUAUCCUCUGUCCAUAUAUUUAUUCUAUUUUAUAAUCUGGUUACUGAUGAUGAGGAGGCUAAUGAAACCGUUCUCAUAUAAUGCUAAAAUGUUUAUGGAAAAACAAAAACUAUUCCAAU